UGGGGCCUGAACCUGGCAUACAAUGUAGAAUUCUGUUUGUUAAGCAACAGCUACAUUGUCUGCUGGGUUUCAGGCUGUCUGG
rfam:Anolis carolinensis chromosome 3, whole genome shotgun sequence.